AUGAAUUAUAUUUUUCUAUGAUUAUUAUAUUUUUAAGUAAAAAUAUUUCAAAAUAUUUGAGUGGAAAUCAUGAAAAAUCACAGAAUUCAUUAUAUCAAUAAUUCUAUUUCUCAAUCUUCUUUCAAAAUGACAAGUGGAAGUUAUGUAUAAUACAGAACUUAAGUUGUAUCUGUCUGUUAUGUUGUGUAAUUUAAGGUAUCAGUGAGUAACUACGUUCUGUCAAAGAACAACAAAUCGUCCAUUGAGAAACAGGAUGACCGGAAAUCACGGGUUGCAAAUGAUCAAGUUCAUUGAAUAGAGUUCAACCACGUUUUGGUCGCGUAUUUGCAAAGCUUAUCAUACAACAUCAUCUUCUAACCAUGUUCAUCAGAAGGUAAUUUUAGUUUCCGGUGAUACGCGUGCUUUUGAUUAUAUUUUUAGCCAUAUUGGAUAUUGAGGUCAUCAACAUCAUAAAUUCAAAAAAUAUUCCUUCGUUUUUUAAAUAUUAAACAGUUUCAAAGUU